GGACAGGGACAGUCACAAAUCUUUCCAGAGGGUGGUUGUGGAGGGAAGCAGCAAGAUGAGAUGUAGUGCCAAAGGUGGGGAUGGGCGGGCUGUGGCGCGUCCAAAGGGACAGGCUGGGGAAAAGGAGACAAAGUGACAGAGGAGCAGCAGAGUGAUGCAGCGAGGAGGAGCCGGGAGCCACCAACUGGGCAGUUUAGUAAUCCCAUUCUUAACAAUGCUGGACUCUUAUUUCGAAUGGACAAGGUAUCUGAAUGCUCAGAGGAGGAACAUGUGCACGAAUUCCAGGCUUUCUAACUGAAGGCUAGUCCAGAUGGAGGUCCAGGGAGAAGGCCUGCUUCACGCUGGAGAGAUGCAGAAAAUCUGCCAGGAGAGCAAGGCUUUGGAGGAGGUGCAAGGACUUGCCAAAGAGACAUGGGAAAAACUGAGAAGGCACUCGGUUGAGGCUUUCCAAGAUGAGAAAAUCCAAUUAGAUGGAUUCUGGAUGUCAGCAAAUGGAAACAGAAGAUGAAUGCAUAAUUCCACAAAACAUUAUUUUUCUCUGCUUGUUAGAUUAGCCAAUCUAACAAAGGAAUUCUGUUCUUCCCUAUACCAGAAAAUAAAAUGCCAGGA